GGGAGAGAGAGCCUGGCUGCCGCGGUGGCCCCGCCGGCGACGGCGCGGCCACAGUACCGCGAUACAUCCCGACGGGAUGUGUCACGCUCGCGAGGAAAGUCCCCCCACCCGUUCGGGCGGGUGACCGGACGCAAGUCCGGAGCGGGAGACCGCUGGCUCUGGAACAGAAACGACACGUCUCGGCCCGACCUAUGACGCGUGCGAACCCGACCGCGAGGAAGGGGAGUUGACCCGCAGAGGGAGGCGGUUCUCGUGCGACGAGCCGAGGACCGCCGACGAGCGACAGACCCGCUCGCGCGUGCGGUUGACGACCGACGGUUCGAACCCGUCGAUCGUGUGUGCGGUUCCCGCCGACGCGGAAACCGCGAGAUUCGAGGCGGAUCGACCGCCGAAGACGACGCCACGAUCGACCGCACGUCGACGGCCGAGGAUCGAUGGAACGGCGAACCCUCACCGGUGCAAGUCCGUGCCGUGGUAGCCCGAACACCCCGCGGCUCCGCCGCGGACGGCGCGGACGCUCAGCCGAAUGCCGGGACGAACAGAAGGGGGCUUACUCCUCUCACCC
rnacentral:RNase_P_RNA from 1 species